AUUGAACGCUGGCGGCAGGCCUAACACAUUCAAGUCGAGCGAGCGGCGGACGGGUGAGUAAUGUAUGGGAAACUGCCCGAUGGAGGGGGAUAACUACUGGAAACGGUAGCUAAUACCGCAUACUAUCGGAUGAACCCAUAUGGGAUUAGCUAGUAGGUGGGGUAAAGGCUCACCGAGGCGACGAUCUCUAGCUGGUCUGAGAGGAUGAUCAGCCACACGGGAGCUGAGACACGGUCCAGACUCCUACGGGAGGCAGCAGUGGGGAAUAUUGCACAAUGGGCGCAAGCCUGAUGCAGCCAUGCCGCGUGUAUGAAGAAGGCCUUAGGGUUGUAAAGUACUUUCAGCGGGGAGGCGUUACCCGCAGAAGAAGCACCGGCUAACUCCGUGCCAGCAGCCGCGGUAAUUC
rnacentral:rRNA from 1 species